UUCCCAAUUUGUGGUACAUGUACAACACAGACAACCUGUCAGUGGUAUGCGUUAACAGAUGUAUUAUAAUUACUCUAUAUGACAAAAAAUUGCUGGUGGUACUUAAGGCUGUAUCAUUUUAAA